AGGUACAAUCAACGGUAAAUGGAAAUAUGGAGAGUGAAAGAAAAGAGGCUUACUUGUGGCGAAGAUGUUGAAGAUUCAUCUAUGGAGGCUCGAAGAUGGGAGCCAUCGUUGAAGGCUGCUAGCAAGCAAGAAAGAAUGAAGAAAUUUGAACUUGAAGAAUGAAGACUUUGAAGAAUGAAGAAUUCAAGAAAGUCUUUGAAGUUUUUUUCUUUUUUCUUGUAAUUCAUUCCAACUUGAAAAUGUAUGAACUUUGUAUUCUUGAAAUGAUGUAAUUCUUGAACUUUAGAUAAAGUUCCUUUUGUAAUCCAUGUGUAACUUAGAACUUGUUUUAUGUAAAAGAAUUCCAUUUGGAAAUAUUCUUUUAGAAUCUUGAAUGAAAUUGUAUGGAACUUGAAUA